GUGUUAACUGUUCUGGGCUUGGGGGAAUAAUCAAGUUCUCCAGCUCUCUGAGUGUGGUGCUUGGUUUCUUGAUGGUCUGGCUUCUGCAACAGGUGGAGUAAUGGUCAAGUCUCCAGCUCUGCAAGCACAAGAUGACAAAUCCCUUGAGGACAUAAACUGUUCUUGGUCACCGAGACCCUGGCACAUAACAGGAUCAUUCUGAGAUAGGCUGAACCUGGGACGUGCGACCCUUUGCUGCAAUGCUUAUACCUGGACAAAUAUUUCCUUGAGCAACAAAAUACCUAGAAACCAUAAGGGACUGAAAAUAACUGAAUGCAUGCUCGGUUGCAGUAAAUUAUGGAAAAGAUACAAAAAGACCAAAGAAGCCCAACUGCCACUUCGGAAGAGCCAGGAGCAUAAACAGGAUACUAAGCAUGACCUCAGGAGUACGUCAAGGCUGUAUAUAGUCACCCUGCUUAUUUAAUUUAUAUGCAGAGUACAUCAUGAGAAAUGCUGGGCUGGAGGAAGCACAAGCUGGAAUCAAGAUUGCCAGGAGAAAUGUCAGUAACCUCAGAUAUGCAGAUGACACCCCCCUUAUGGCAGAAAGUG
ensembl:lncRNA